rnacentral:lncRNA from 1 species
CGAGACUUCGGGUCUCUCGGAACACGGCGCUGCCCGGAGUGGCAGCCUGGGCUCCGCGCGUUCUGCUAGAAGCCGGGAGGGCUCUGGGCAUCCCACGAACAGCCUGGAGAAACCGGGGACUCGUUCAUACUGUGAAGAUGCAAUGAGAGGCUGGGAUGGCUGCAAGCCUCGGACGGCCCAUUGGUCCCAACUGGCCUCAUACAGAAAGCAAACCUUCAGCCUGAUUAAUACAAGAGGGGGACCAGGAAACCGAAGACAGCAAAACAAGGCAGAGAAGGCCUUGAGUCACAAAAGAAGCUACCUCACCAACGCUCAGGUUCCAAGAGCACCUGGCUCCCAGACUGAAGUUGACGCCCUGGGACAAGGCCUGGUUCCCCCUGCCUGACAGAAAGAUCUAAGGUCAUCAUACAAAGUGGCCAGCCCUAGAGAACACUACACUUAUGUUGGGCAAAGACAGCAUCCAGACCCUUCAGCCUGCCUCUGUUCAGUCAAGCAGAGAAGCUGAUGGACAGAGGAGAGUGGAGGCAGGGGAUUCAGUCUGUUCUGUUCCUUUCCAGCAGUCCACAUGGACAAUCUGAGUCCCCUUUCUGGCCUUCGUGGGCCAACCUGUCUUUGACUCAUCCCAGAUCCUGUGCUAUGCUUCAAGAGCAUGACCUGCGUGAAGACCCUGCGGUGCACAUACUCUAGAUGAUGUGGAGCACUUCGUAUUCCCAAGAGGGUACCCCUGUUACAGCAGUUAUCCAGACAGGCCGAUAUGUGGGUUUUCUGUAAUAAUUUGGUAGAUGAAGGGAAUCAGUCUACUGAACUAUUUAGAGGAGGCUAAAACACAUCUGAAUUUUGUAUUUGGAGGGGGUCAGGGUAUAUUUUGUUAACAAGGCUGAUCCACUGGGACUAAACCUCCUGCUUGUUGUAGACGUACCUGGGCCACAGAACGGCUGUAGGAAGACCAGCUUGCCAAAAUGAACAUCCUAAAUCAAAUUGCUGCCUGUGAGUUUCCAAUUGAUUUACACGGUGACAGGAUUAACUCAAUCACAAAAGUCCCAGCCCUCUGAGUUGAGAUAGGAUCUGUAAUAAAACUUGCCUCGUCUUCCUGCAGAGAGGGGAUUUCAUUACUCACUCAUCCCCACUCUCCAGAUGUCCAGAUGGCCCUGAGGUGCACACAGCUCCCAGGCUGGGAGUGAGUGUGUGUAUGGGGGGUGGGGGGUGGGGCGGGGCGUGUGGGGGGGUGCUUCUUCUCUAGAUUGACGUCGGCCAGGCUGGGCAGGGACAGGACAGGGACUGGAAAGGUGAUUGGAGGUGGCCUUGUCUCAGAAGUUAGAAAAUAUCAUCCAGAGAUGAUUUUAAUGACAUCUUCCCAAACAGAAGAAAAGAUGUUAAGGAGUGUUAAGAUGUGUUAAUGGAAUUGUAUUCUUAUGCCUACCCCUGGUCCCUGUACAGCAAGAGCAGGGCUGCCUAGUUGGGCUACAGUGUGCCCCUAAUUCAAGGCUUCUGUUGCAGUUAUUCAUGUGCUUGUCUCAUGUGGUCCUCAAAAACAGGACAUGUGCCUGUCCAUUGUCAUAUCUCCUAUCAUGACAAUAGCAUACCCUUAAUGUUAUGUACUCUAAAUAUGUAUUUCUUGAAAAAUUUUUCACCUCUGUAAAAGAAAUUAUAAAAACUUGAACUCGG